rnacentral:rRNA from 1 species
CCUACGGGAGGCAGCAGUGGGGAAUAUUGGACAAUGGGGGGGACCCUGAUCCAGCGACGCCGCGUGAGUGAAGAAGUAUCUCGGUAUGUAAAGCUCUAUCAGCAGGGAAGAAAGAAAUGACGGUACCUGACUAAGAAGCCCCGGCUAACUACGUGCCAGCAGCCGCGGUAAUCCGUAGGGGGCAAGCGUUAUCCGGAUUUACUGGUUGUAAAGGGAGCGUAGACGGCGAUGCAAGUCUGAAGUGAAAGGCGGGGGACCAACCCCAAGACUGCUUUUGAAACUGUAUGGCUUGAGUGCAGGAGAGGUAAGUGGAAUUCCUAGUGUAGCGGUGAAAUGCGUAGAUAUUAGGAGGAACACCAGUGGCGAAGGCGGCUUACUGGACUGUAACUGACGUUGAGGCUCGAAAGCGUGGGGAGCAAACAGGAUUAGAUACCCGUGUAGUC